rnacentral:misc_RNA from 1 species
GAUGAAGAACGUAGCGAAAUGCGAUAAGUAAUGUGAAUUGCAGAAUUCAGUGAAUCAUCGAAUCUUUGAACGCACCUUGCACCCUUUGGCAUUCCGAAGGGUAUGCUCGUUUGAGUGUCAUUGUACUCUCACACUCUCCGAUCCUAUGGAUUCGGGGAGCGGUGGACUUGGGUGUUGCUGCCUUUCCUUGUGGCUCACCUCAAAUGUGUCAGUGCACCUCUUGGUUGGACAUAGUACGGCGUGAUAAGUGUCUUCGCCGGCACCUCGCAAGAGGGUGGCCGAUCGGGAGCUCUGUGCUUUCAAACCGUCUUCGGACAAUUUCUGACAACUUGACCUCAAAUCGAGUAGGACUACCCGCUGAACUUAAGCAUAUCUAAGCGGAGGA